AGAGUUUGAUCCUGGCUCGGAUGAACGCUGGCGGCGCGCUUAAUGCAUGCAAGUCGAGCGAUGAGGCCCUCUUCGGGGGGUACAUCAGCGGCAGACGGGUGAGUAACACGUAGGUGAUCUACCCCAGAGACGGGGAUAACGGGUGGAAACAUCCGCUAAUACCGGAUAGGCUUGUUCGGUCAAAGGGACAAGGAAAGGCUCCGGCGCUCUGGGAGGAGCCUGCGGCCCAUCAGCUAGUUGGCGGGGUAACGGCCCACCAAGGCAAAGACGGGUAGGGGGUGUGAGAGCAUGGCCCCCCACAAUGGGACUGGAACACGGCCCAUACUCCUACGGGAGGCAGCAGCAGGGAAUAUUGCACAAUGGAAGGAAGUCUGAUGCAGCGACGCCGCGUGGAUGAAAAAGGCCCUCGGGUUGUAAAAUCCUUUACAGGGAGAAGAGGAAGGACGGUACCCCUGGAACAAGUGUCGGCUAACUACGUGCCAGCAGCCGCGGUAAGACGUAGGACACGAGCGUUAUCCGGAUUUACUGGGCGUAAAGCGUCUGCAGGCGGACAGGUAAGUUGGGCGUGAAAGCUCCGGGCCCAACUCCGGAGAGGUCGUUCAAUGCUGCGUGUCUAGAGGGUGUCAGAGGGGAGUGGAAUUUCCGGAGUAGCGGUAAAAUGCGCAGAGAUCGGAAAGAACACCAAUGGCGAAUGCAGCUCCUCUGGGGCAACCCUGACGCUAAGAGACGAAAGCUAGGGGAGCGAACAGGAUUAGAGACCCUGGUAGUCCUAGCCCUAAACGAUGGGA
rnacentral:rRNA from 1 species